rnacentral:rRNA from 1 species
UGUAGCCGAAGCGAAAGCGAGUCUGAACAGGGCGUAUAGUCGGUAGUGGUAGACGCGAAACCAAGUGAUCUACCCUUGAGCAGGUUGAAGUCCGGGUAACACCGGAUGGAGGACCGAACCAAUAAGCGUUGAAAAGCUUCUGGAUGACUUGAGGGUAGGGGUGAAAGGCUAAUCAAACUUGGAGAUAGCUCGUACUCCCCGAAAUGCAUUUAGGUGCAGCCUUGACCAUUACUAAUGUGAGGUAGAGCGACUGAUAAGAUGCGAGGGCUUCACCGCCUAUCAAGUCUUGAUAAACUCCGAAUGCGCAUUAGUUUGAGGUCAGGAGUGAGGGCAUGGGUGCUAAGGUCCGUGCCCGAGAGGAGAAGAAUCCGGACCACCUGCUAAGGUCCCGAAAUAACAGCUAAGUUAAACUAACGAAGUCAGAUUGCUAAGACAGCUAGGAUGUUGGCUUGGAAGCAGCCAUUCAUUUAAAGAGUGCGUAACAGCUCACUAGUCGAGGAGUUUGGCGUGGAUAAUAAUCGGGUAUCAAGCUGUUUACCGAAGCAGUGGGAUCAUAUAAUGAUCGGUAGGGGAGCAUUCCACUCUGCGUCGAAGGUGGGGCGUGAGCCCUGCUGGAGCGUGUGGAAAAGCAAAUGUAGGUAUAAGUAACGAUAAAGGGGGUGAGAAACCCCCUCGCCGCAAGACUCAGGUUUCCUGAUCAACGCUAAUCGGAUCAGGGUCAGUCGGGUCCUAAGGCUCAGCCGAACGGCGAGGCCGAUGGCAGAACCGGUUAAUAUUCCGGUACUACCCUUUGGGGUGACGUGGAGACGCAGUCGUGACAAUGCCGCCAGCUGACGGAAUAGCUGGUUAAAGGGUGUAGAAGUUGAUUGUGGCAGGCAAAUCCACCACAAGAUUCGAACCUGACAGUAUGGAGCGUCCUUCCGGACAAUCCAAUAGUGCAUGUAAUCAUACUGCCAAGAAAAUCCGCUAAACAUAACCUUCAGGGUACCCGUACCGCAAACGGACACACGUAGUCGGGUUGAAUAUACUAAGGCGCUUGAGUGAUUCACGGUUAAGGAACUAGGCAAAUUAACCCUGUAACUUCGGGAAAAAGGGUCCCUACCCGUUAGCGGGAGGGCGCAGAGAAUCGGUCCAGGCAACUGUUUAACAAAAACACAGGGCUGUGCGAAGUCGAAAGACGCUGUAUACAGCCUGACACCUGCCCGGUGCUGGAAGGUUAAGAGGAGAUGUCAUCGCAAGAGAAGCAUUGAAUUGAAGCCCCAGUAAACGGCGGCCGUAACUAUAACGGUCCUAAGGUAGCGAAAUUCCUUGUCGGGUAAGUUCCGACCUGCACGAAUGGUGUAAUGAUCUGGACACUGUCUCAACCGUGAGCUCAGUGAAAUUGUAGUAUCGGUGAAGAUGCCGAUUACCCGCGAUGGGACGAAAAGACCCCGUGAACCUUUACUAUAGCUUAUCAUUGAAUUUGGGCACGUGAUGUGUAGGAUAGGUCGGAGGCUUUGAAGCAGGCACGCCAGUGUUUGUGGAGCCGCUGUUGAAAUACGACCCUUCAUUUGUUUGAGUUCUAACUCGU